rnacentral:rRNA from 1 species
AUUGAACGCUGGCGGCAUGCCUUACACAUGCAAGUCGAACGGCAGCACGGGUGCUUGCGCCUGGUGGCGAGUGGCGAACGGGUGAGUAAUAUAUCGGAACGUACCUUAUUGUGGGGGAUAACGCAGCGAAAGCUGUGCUAAUACCGCAUAAUCCCUAAGGGGGAAAGCGGGGGACCGUAAGGCCUCGCGCAAUUAGAGCGGCCGAUACCUGAUUAGCUAGUUGGUGAGGUAAAGGCUCACCAAGGCAACGAUCAGUAGCUGGUCUGAGAGGACGAUCAGCCACACUGGGACUGAGACACGGCCCAGACUCCUACGGGAGGCAGCAGUGGGGAAUUUUGGACAAUGGGGGCAACCCUGAUCCAGCAAUGCCGCGUGAGUGAAGAAGGCCUUCGGGUAGUAAAGCUCUUUUGUCAGGGAAGAAACAGCAGCUCUAACACAGUAUGCGAAUGACGGUACCUGAAGAAUAAGCACCGGCUAACUACGUGCCAGCCGCCGCAGUAA